UACGUAGGGUGCGAGCGUUAAUCGGAAUUACUGGGCGUAAAGCGUGCGCAGGCGGUUUUGUAAGCCAGAUGUGAAAUCCCCGGGCUUAACCUGGGAAUGGCAUUUGGGACUGCAAGGCUUGAGUGCGGCAGAGGAGACUGGAAUUCCUGGUGUAGCAGUGAAAUGCGUAGAUAUCAGGAGGAACACCGAUGGCGAAGGCAGGUCGCUGGCUGGACACUGACGCUCAUGCACGAAAGCGUA
rnacentral:rRNA from 1 species